UAAUUAAUUAAUGAAAAAUGUAUUAUUUUUUUUUAUCAGAAAAAAANAAAUUUAUUACGAGAGAGUUUGGUACCAGAGGUACCACCAGAUUACACAAGAACAAGAGGAGUUUCACAAGAAAACCAAGAUUGGGAGCUAAUCUCUUUAACAAGUAGUCCAAAAAUCUUGUUCCAACUCCACAUCCUCACUUUCACUUCUUCGAUCACGUCAUUGAUCUCCCAAUUCUUGCCCUCAAAUCUGCUCUCGUUACGUCGUUUCCACAACAACCAAAUGGUACAGACCCAUACUGUCGCUAGAAAAAGUCGACCUUCCUUUCAUUUGUCAAGAUUUGUGAACAAAUCGAAGUGUGCCUCAACCGAUUGAGGCCACACUGCUUUUAUUCCCAGCCACCUAUGAAUUCCAAUCCAAACCUUUUCAGUCUUCGGACACGACAGAAGCAGAUGGUUUGUCGUUUCUAAAUGUUGACAGCAUGCAUUACACAUAAUCUCCUCCUCUCCAAGUGGGAUAUUUCUCUUUCUCAAAUUUUCACAAGUUGGCAGCCGGUUCCUGAGGAUUCUCCACGCCGUUACUCUCGUCAUCUGUGGAGCCUGUAUGUUCCAAAUUUUUACAAGCCUUUCCCUAUUGCAAAUCUCCACCGAUGCCUCGUUCCCUAACCCUUUUAUGACUUCAUAUGCAGACUUUGUUGUAUACA
rnacentral:lncRNA from 1 species